rnacentral:rRNA from 1 species
UACGUAGGGUCCAAGCGUUAAUCGGAAUUACUGGGCGUAAAGCGUGCGCAGGCGGUUGUGCAAGACCGAUGUGAAAUCCCCGGGCUUAACCUGGGAAUUGCAUUGGUGACUGCACGGCUAGAGUGUGUCAGAGGGGGGUAGAAUUCCACGUGUAGCAGUGAAAUGCGUAGAGAUGUGGAGGAAUACCGAUGGCGAAGGCAGCCCCCUGGGAUAACACUGACGCUCAUGCACGAAAGCGUGGGGAGCAAACAGGAUUAGAUACCCUGGUAGUCCACGCCCUAAACGAUGUCAACUAGUUGUUGGGGAUUCAUUUCCUUAGUAACGUAGCUAACGCGUGAAGUUGACCGCCUGGGGAGUACGGUCGCAAGAUUAAAACUCAAAGGAAUUGACGGGGACCCGCACAAGCGGUGGAUGAUGUGGAUUAAUUCGAUGCAACGCGAAAAACCUUACCUACCCUUGACAUGCCACUAACGAAGCAGAGAUGCAUUAGGUGCUCGAAAGAGAAAGUGGACACAGGUGCUGCAUGGCU